rnacentral:rRNA from 1 species
AUUGAACGCUGGCGGCAUGCUCUACACAUGUAAGUCGAACGGUAACAGGCCGCAAGGUGCUGACGAGUGGCGAACGGGUGAGUAAUGCAUCGGAACGUGCCCAGUCGUGGGGGAUAACUACUCGAAAGAGUAGCUAAUACCUCAUACGAUCUAUGGAUGAAAGCGGGGGACCGUAAGGCCUCGCGCGAUUGGAGCGGCCGAUGUCGGAUUAGGUAGUUGGUGGGGUAAAGGCUCACCAAGCCAACGAUCUGUAGCUGGUCUGAGAGGACGACCAGCCACACUGGGACUGAGACACGGCCCAGACUCCUACGGGAGGCAGCAGUGGGGAAUUUUGGACAAUGGGCGCAAGCCUGAUCCAGCAAUGCCGCGUGCAGGAAGAAGGCCUUCGGGUUGUAAACUGCUUUUGUACGGAACGAAACGGCUCUGGUUAAUACCCGGGGCUAAUGACGGUACCGGAAGAAUAAGCACCGGCUAACUACGUG